rnacentral:rRNA from 1 species
UACGGAGGGUGCAAGCGUUGUCCGGAUUUAUUGGGUUUAAAGGGUGCGUAGGUGGCCUUAUAAGUCGGUGGUGAAAGCCUGCAGCUUAACUGUAGGACUGCCAUUGAUACUGUAGGGCUUGAGUACUGAUGAGGUAGGCGGAAUUGAUAGUGUAGCGGUGAAAUGCAUAGAUAUUAUCAAGAACACCGAUUGCGAAGGCAGCUUACUAAGGAGUUACUGACACUGAGGCACGAAAGCGUGGGGAGCAAACAGG